rnacentral:rRNA from 1 species
UACGGAGUUAGCCGGAGCUUAUUCUCCAGGUACUGUCAUUAUCAUCCCUGGUAAAGAGCUUUACAACCCUAAGGCCUUCAUCACUCACGCGGCAUUGCUGGAUCAGGCUUUCGCCCAUUGUCCAAUAUUCCCCACUGCUGCCUCCCGUAGGAGUCUGGGCCGUGUCUCAGUCCCAGUGUGGCUGAUCAUCCUCUCAGACCAGCUAAAGAUCGUCGCCUUGGUAGGCCUUUACCCCACCAACUAGCUAAUCUUACGCGGGCUCAUCCUUGGGCGAUAAAUCUUUGGUCCGAAGACAUUAUACGGUAUUAGCACAAAUUUCUCUGAGUUAUUCCGUACCCAAGGGCAGAUUCCCACGCGUUACGCACCCGUGCGCCACUAAGUCCGAAGACUUCGUUCGACUUGCAUGUGUUAGGCAUGCCGCCAGCGUUCGUUCUGAGCCAGGAUCAAACUCU